rnacentral:rRNA from 1 species
UACGUAUGGGGCAAGCGUUAUCCGGAUUUACUGGGUGUAAAGGGAGCGCAGGCGGCCUGGCAAGCCUGAUGUGAAAUACCGGGGCCCAACCCCGGGGCUGCAUUGGGAACUGCCAGGCUGGAGUGCCGGAGGGGCAGGCGGAAUUCCUAGUGUAGCGGUGAAAUGCGUAGAUAUUAGGAGGAACACCAGUGGCGAAGGCGGCCUGCUGGACGGUGACUGACGCUGAGGCUCGAAAGCGUGGGGAGCAAACAGG